CUGCUUUCGCACCCAUCGCUUGUCCUAAUCUAUGGGACCAUCAGGUGCGGCAUGUGCUACCUAUGAUCGACAAACCUCAUUAGACUCACCGAUUCGCUUUCACUAUUCAUAGGGUGGACCCCUCAUGCGUGCGUUCACACUUUGAGUUUCCUUAACUGCCCCCGGGCGUGUUCGCCACCUCGUACACCAAAUUAAGCUACUAUGCGCUCCUUGGAAUGGUUCCGAAUUUACCCUCUGCUGCAUAAACCUUUGUCUAUAAAGAAGCCUGCAGAAAGUUCCACGACGUACCAACAGCAGUCGAGCACGGCACUCCACAGUCCAAUUCAGGAUAUUGCUCGCGUUGGGGACAACAAUCAACGGUCGCUCAGUUCAGCCCUUGAGAUUGUUCUGACGGUCACAUUUGACACUCCUUCCACCCCUACUGCAGUUUAGUAGUGCCGGGAAUGCGGAACCCGAUGUGUGCACGAUGUUACCGGCCAUGUCUCUCGUCGGUGACGCACUCGUCCUCGCUUAGAUGUUUUGGCCAGAGUCAAGCCUAGCCUCAGACGUUGAGCUGAGGCACUUCGACCUUAGCGAUCAUUAGCCUAUAGUCGGUACUAGGCCACUUAUGCAAGGGCCCGGAACAUGUGUGGCGGGCAGUUCGGUACCUUCGACCCCCACGGACUUCAGCCACUGGCGUUCCUCGACGGAUCCCAUUUUGAUCAUUGACCCCGAUUCAGCAUUGUUCCAUCGGCAUUUCCCGCUUAAGACGUCUAUAGGUAGUG
rnacentral:rRNA from 1 species